GGAAAAAGGUUCCGGCCUCAGCCGGCGCACCUGGCGGAGGAGGAACCUCGCGACGCGCUCUCGGGCAUCGGUUUCUCCCAGCAAAGCUUGGAGGGUUUAGCUGCGCGGAGAGCUCAGCGAGCUCUUCUGUGUCUGUUUGGGGCGUGUGGGCUCCGGGAGCGUGAGGACCGGGAAGCUAGGAGGCUCCUUCCCUUCUGGCGGCUCCCUCACUGAGACCGGGCGGUUUGGUUGCGGGGGAAGUGGAGACGAGCCACCCUUGACCUUUGACUGCAAGAACUCACCUUGAGCAGGAUAGAGGCACGUGGACGGUGACCCUCGGGAUGCAAUAAAUGCUGAGACAGAUCAGCAAACAUUGAGUGGGCCAGACACUGUUCUGAAAAAUACGCAGUCGACUUUUGAACAGCACAGGCUUGAACUGCAUGCGGCCACUAAUACUCGGACUUCCUUCUGCCUCUGCCAUCCCUAAGACAGCAAGACCCACCCCUCCUGCUCCUCAGCCUACUCGAUGUGAUGAUGUCUGGCUUCCUUUUCCCUUCAAUGGAAUAACAUAUACAAACUCUACCUAAGAGUGCUGUGUGAAGUACAUGCCAGCCUACAAGACAUGUCUCUAACCAAGUCGAAAGAGUGCAGUAUUCGUUCAUUCACUCAUUCAUUCAUUCAACAAAUGUUUAUUAAUAGGUAUUGUUUACCAAGCACUGUGUGUUAAGGAGAAGAUGGUAUGAAACAAGCAGACCCAGGCCUCAGGGAAGAGAGGCUGUUACAUUCAGAGACAAUUACCAUACACUACAAUGAAUGCUUUGAUGAAGGGAGGCAAAAAAACAAAAACAAAAACAACAACAACAAAAACCCCACAACGAUGUGGAUCCCUCCCUGUGGGGGUGAGGAGAAAGGAAAACAGCUUCAGGGAUCUCCAAGCCCUUGUGCCGGCCACUCUUCUUUCUUCUCUUCCUUCCUCCUCUGUCUUUCCUUUCAUCCUUCCUCCUCCCUUCUCUUUGGACAUCACUAAUAAAAGAGAAACAGAUGUCAGAGACGUAGACAUGGGGAGGGCUUUAAUAUCUAGCCUUACGGAACAAAAUCCUUGGGACCCAAUAGAACUUAGUGUUGCAGAGCUUUCUCCUGAGUUCAGCUAAAACCAGGCUCUUGUCACACGACCAGGGAAGAUUAGGCUCCCGGACACAUAGAAGGGUGAGGAAAACAGAAUUUAUUGGGCGAAAAGGAAAAAGAAAGAAAAACUCUCAGCGAAGUGAUAGGGGGUCUUGCCAACAACCUCUCUCCUCACAAAUUGAAUCCUAGGUUACCACAGAGGCCAGGUUCCUCUCCCCUGCAAACUUCGUGAACUUCCCCUGGCUCUACCCCUUUCCCCCAGUAAGAAGGUGGGCCUCAUUUAGAGAAAAUCGUUUGGGAAAGGGCAGGCUUCAUCAGGGACCAGCAAUCCAGUUUCUCAGCCUUCAGGCUGUUUUAGCCUUGGAGGUGGGGUUUCACCUGGGACACUUGGCUGCCCCCUGUCUCUAACAUUAGAUGUCUCUAACAUCUAUUCCCCUCCCUAUCUUUGCUGGACACCUGACUCUCUCCUAGAGCAACCCAGCAAACAUCUGUCUGUUGUGUACUUAAAUACCCCCACAGAUUGGGAACUGUCUCCUUUAUGGGAAAGCUCUUUAUAUUUGGGACACCCCAGUUUGUUCAUUCAGCACAUUUUCUUUUCAACUUUUUUAGAGACAAGGUCUCACUCUGUCACCCAGACUGGAAUGCAGUAGCGUGAUCAUAGCUCACUGUAACCUCGAACUCCUGGGCUCAAGUGAUCCUCCUGCCUCGGCCUCCCAGGAGCUAAGGGCUACAGGCGUGUGCCGCCACUCCCAGCUAGUUUUUUAAUUUUUAAAAAUUUUUUGCAGAGGUGGCGUCUUGCUAUGUUGACCAAGUUUGUCUCAAAUUCCUGGCUUCAAGCCAUCCUCCCACCUCUGCCUCCCAAAACACUGGGAUUUCAGCCGUGAGCCACCAACGCACCUGGCCUCAUUCUCCAACUCUUUACAAAGCUUCAAAGACAUCCCAGACGCUGGGAAUACAGAGACCAAUCAGAUACAAACCCUGCCCUCCAGCUGUUCGCAGCAUUCUCGCUCCUUUGCGGCCACCUCUUCUGCCCUGCUUUUCCACCUUGUCCCUUCUUCUGUCAAGUGGCUUUUGGCUUGGUCACCACUUUGCUGGUGUUUCUCUCCAGAAGUGAGUCCCAGACUUCAGGUGUGGUCUGACUCACGUCCUAUCGGGUCUCUCCCUCUGAAAACCGUGCUUGUAUUAAAGCAGCUUGGGAGCUCAUUAAUGUUCUUGGCAGCCAGGUCCUACCCCUGACAGUGCAGGAGCUGCCUGUCCACUUAGGGGACCCCUGUCUUUUUCACACGUGAGUCUGUUAAGCCUCACCUCCCUCAUCGCCUCCAUGUGUGCGGCAGUUUUCAACAAAUGUUCAGAGUACAACACCUGCCCUUGUUAAACGUAAUCUUGUUACACUAGUCCCCUUGUUUUAACUUCUCAAACAUUUUGAGUCUUGCUCCUGUUAACCAAGAAGACCUAGAAAGCUCCACAUCUCCUCUUAAAAUGUGUGUGUGUGUGUGUGUGCGUGUAUUCGUACGCACACCCCUGGGUACAGCUCUGAGGAGGCCACCUAUAGGUUUCUGAACAAUCUUCCAUGAAUACAGCUCAUUCAUACACACAUUUAUUUAUUCUGCAACAUUUAUUCAACAUUCCCUAACAAAACUUUCAUUCUUGAGCACUUUUUGCCCAAGCAUUACAGGGAUAAUAGAAGCAAACGAAUCCAUACUAAGGAGUGAAUUAUUGAUAGUGCUCACCUGCAUUUUUUUAAGCAGAAAGUAGUAUUUAUUUUGGCCUAAUUUCCACCUGUCAGAAAAUCAAAACAGUGAUGAAUUGCAUAUUGCUAUACUACAUUUUAUUAUCAGCAUCAAAAUUCAAGUGUGCUCUGCUUAAAAUUCAGAAGACAAACUUUCUCAUUUAGAAAAGUUCAUUCUGUUAGUGACUGAUCAGAAUGGAAUAAAAAUUUCAUGAUGCAUACAUACUGAUUGAAUUUUUUUUUCUUUUUUUAAAAAAAAUGUAUUUUAUUCUGGAUUCAAGGUGUGCAUGUGCAUAUCUGCUACACAGGUAUAAUUAUGUACUGGUGGGAUUGGGCAUCUAGUGUGUCCAUUACCCAAAUAGUGAACAUUGUACCCAAUAGGUAUUCUUCAACUCUAUCCCCCACUCUAAUGAUCCCCCCUUUGGGAGUCCCCACUGUCUAUAGUUUCCAUCUUUAUGUCCAUCUUUAUGUGCCCAUUGUUUAGCUCCCACUUACAAGUGAGAACAUAUGGUAUUCAGUUUUCUGUUUCUGUGUUAGUUUGUUUAGGAUAAUGACCUCCAGCUCCAUCCAUGUAGUUACAAAGGACAUGGUUUUGUUCUUCUUUUUUUUUUAAUGACUGCUUCACCUUCUUCUUAACUAUCCCAAGGUGUUUGGUUCUUAAACUGAUUGGUGAAAUCUAGCAGUCAUAGCAGAAGCAAGUGGAGACAAGGCUUGUUUAAAUAGUAUCAUUAAGCUGACUCUGACAGAGGCCUUUCCAUACACACCCAACCCUCUCCCCUAUCAGAGCUUCUAGAGAGGGAGGCUGGCUAACCCUGGGAUCCAGAAAUAUUUGGAGAAUCCUCGGGCCGGGCGUGGUGGCUCACGCCUGUAAUCCCAACACUUUGGGAGGUUGAGGCGGGUGGAUCAUGAGGUCAGGAGAUUGAGACCAUCCUGGCUGACACGGUGUACUAAAAAUACAAAAAAUUAGCCGGGCGUGGUGGUGGGUGCCUGUAGUCCCAGCUACUCGGGAGGCUGAGGCAGGAGAAUGGCAUGAACCCCGGAGGCGAAGCUUGCAGUGAGCCGAGAUCGUGCCACUGUACUCCAGCCUGGGAGACAGAGCGAGACUCUGUCUCACAAAAAUAAUAAUAAUAAUAAUAAUAAUAAUAAUUUGGAGAAUCCUCAACAUUCUUUCUGCUCAUCCCAGUAACCCACUUGACAGCAUGGAGCUCAGAAAUGUGGGGACCCCAGAAGCUCAAGAUCUUCAGCCCCAACUCACAACUUUCUCCCUUGCCAUUGGAAGGGAUUGAGGACCUUGGCUCAAAUCUCUGUUUCUCAAAGUGAUUUCUGGCUCAGCCUAUAUCCAG
rnacentral:lncRNA from 10 species